rnacentral:piRNA from 1 species
UGACGCAUUAGCCAGUGUUUACCUUCCAGUC